rnacentral:rRNA from 1 species
AGCGAACGCUGGCGGCAGGCCUAACACAUGCAAGUCGAACGAACUCUUCGGAGUUAGUGGCGGACGGGUGAGUAACACGUGGGAACGUGCCUUUUGGUUCGGAAUAACUCAGGGAAACUUGUGCUAAUACCGAAUGCGCCCUUCGGGGGAAAGAUUUAUCGCCAUUAGAGCGGCCCGCGUCUGAUUAGCUAGUUGGUGAGGUAACGGCUCACCAAGGCGACGAUCAGUAGCUGGUCUGAGAGGAUGACCAGCCACACUGGGACUGAGACGCGGCCCAGACUCCUGCGGGAGGGAGGAGUGGGGAAUCUUGCGAAAUGGGCGAAAGCCUGACGCAGCCGUGCCGCGUGAAUGAUGAAGGUCUUAGGGUUGUAAAAUUCUUUCACCGGGGACGAUAAUGACGGUACCCGAAGAAGAAGCCCCGGCUAACUUCGUG